rnacentral:rRNA from 1 species
GACGAACGCUGGCGGCGUGCUUAACACAUGCAAGUCGAACGAAGAGCGAUGGAAGCUUGCUUCUAUCAAUCUUAGUGGCGAACGGGUGAGUAACGCGUAAUCAACCUGCCCUUCAGAGGGGGACAACAGUUGGAAACGACUGCUAAUACCGCAUACGAUCUAAUCUCGGCAUCGAGGAUAGAUGAAAGGUGGCCUCUACAUGUAAGCUAUCACUGAAGGAGGGGAUUGCGUCUGAUUAGCUAGUUGGAGGGGUAACGGCCCACCAAGGCGAUGAUCAGUAGCCGGUCUGAGAGGAUGAACGGCCACAUUGGGACUGAGACACGGCCCAGACUCCUACGGGAGGCAGCAGUGGGGAAUCUUCCGCAAUGGACGAAAGUCUGACGGAGCAACGCCGCGUGAGUGAUGACGGCCGUCGGGUUGUAAAGCUCUGUUAAUCGGGACGAAAGGCCUUCUUGCGAAUAGUGAGAAGGAUUGACGGUACCGGAAGAGAAAGCCACGGCUAACUACGUG